rfam:Porphyromonas crevioricanis strain COT-253_OH2125 contig_3, whole genome shotgun sequence.
GCGGAAAUAGCUCAGUUGGUAGAGCACAACCUUGCCAAGGUUGGGGUCGCGGGUUCGAAUCCCGUUUUCCGCU